rnacentral:misc_RNA from 1 species
GAAAUGCGAUAAGUAAUGUGAAUUGCAGAAUUCAGUGAAUCAUCGAAUCUUUGAACGCACCUUGCGCUCCUUGGUAUUCCUUGGAGCAUGCCUGUUUGAGUAUCAUGAAAUCUUCAAAGUAAAUCUUUUGUUAACUCAAUUGGUUUCUACUUUGGUAUUGGAGGUCUUUGCAGCUUCACACCUGCUCCUCUUUGUUCAUUAGCUGGAUCUCAGUGUUAUGCUUGGUUCCACUCGGCGUGAUAAGUUAUCUAUCGCUGAGGACACUGUAAAAGGUGGCCAAGGUAAAUGCAGAUGAACCGCUUCUAAUAGUCCAUUGACUUGGACAAUACUUUUAUGAUCUGAUCUCAAAACAGGUAGGACUACCCGCUGAACUUAAGC